rnacentral:rRNA from 1 species
UACGGGAGGCAGCAGUGGGGAAUAUUGCACAAUGGGCGCAAGCCUGAUGCAGCCAUGCCGCGUGUAUGAAGAAGGCCUUCGGGUUGUAAAGUACUUUCAGUCGUGAGGAAGGUGUUAAGGUUAAUAACCUUAGCAAUUGACGUUAGCGACAGAAGAAGCACCGGCUAACUCCGUGCCAGCAGCCGCGGUAAUACGGAGGGUGCGAGCGUUAAUCGGAAUUACUGGGCGUAAAGGGCACGCAGGCGGUUAAUUAAGUUGGAUGUGAAAUCCCCGGGCUUAACCUGGGAAUGGCAUUCAAGACUGGUUAGCUAGAGUCUUGUAGAGGGGGUAGAAUUCCAUGUGUAGCGGUGAAAUGCGUAGAGAUGUGGAGGAAUACCGGGUGGCGAAGGCGGCCCCUGGGACAAGACUGACGCUCAUGUGCGAAAGCGUGGGGAGCGAAACAGGGAUUAGAUACC